GACGAACGCUGGCGGCGUGCUUAACACAUGCAAGUCGAACGGAAAGGCCCUGCUUUUGUGGGGUGCUCGAGUGGCGAACGGGUGAGUAACACGUGAGUAACCUGCCCUUGACUUUGGGAUAACUUCAGGAAACUGGGGCUAAUACCGGAUAGGAGCUCCUGCUGCAUGGUGGGGGUUGGAAAGUUUCGGCGGUUGGGGAUGGACUCGCGGCUUAUCAGCUUGUUGGUGGGGUAGUGGCUUACCAAGGCUUUGAGGGGUAGCCGGCCUGGGAGGGGGACCGGCGCCAUUACGACUGGGAUACGACGCAGACUCGAACGGGACGCAACGGUGGAGAGGAUUACACAGUAGGCGGGAGCCAGAUGCGACAACGCCGCGUGCGGGAUGACGGGCUUCGGGUUGUGAACCGAUUUCGCCUGUGACGAGGCGUGAGUGACGGUACUGGGUAAAGAAGCACCGGCUAACUACGUG
rnacentral:rRNA from 1 species